AGCGUGCAGGGAAGACAGCGUGCUGCCAGAGGGACAGGGGCAGACCGUGGACCAAGAAGGAGACGGAGCAACCCGCAUGGGCGGGCCUCAUCACCCACAGGCUAAUCUGGAAAGGCCGGGGCAUUAGCACGGGAACAGGCACAGCUGGAAAGGCCGCGGCAAAUUGCCAGGACCUGAGCUGAGCCGGGUCAGGUCGAUGUCCUCGGGCGCACCCAGCGGCUGCAGCGAGAAGCUCUGCAGGAUGGCGGUGAGAGACUGAGUCUUACUAUAUUGUCCAGGCUGGUCUCGAACUCCUGGACUCAUGCGAUCCUCCUGCCUCGGCUGCUGGGAUUACAAGGGUCCUGGGGACCCCACACCCCGUCCCUGCUGGACUCAGUUGGCUGACCUCGCCCCAGGGGCUGCUCAUGAUUUGGAAGUUGUCAUUGAUAAGGCGGAUACUGGUGAGCAGACGCUCAUCAUCGCAGUGGAAGCAGCUGCGGAAGAGCACGGAACAGAUAAUGUUGGACACUGAGUGACUCAGCACAAACGUGGGGUCAAAGGGCUCGCCUGAGGGUGGGGAAUGGAAUGGAUCAGGAAGACGCGAUGUGCAACCAACCGGACCUCAUGCAGCAACACCAUUAAUUUGCACAACAUCCGACUCAAGCAUGGCAACGUGUCUUGCGGUGCAGAGCACAGGCACAUGGUCACAACAUGCUGCUUAACAACACCCCAAAAGCAUGUGUCAAUGCCACAGACAGCACAGAACCCACAACUUCCUGCAGCACAUCGACAGCAACAAUACCCACCACAGAACCGGCUAUUCUUGGCAACACAACACACAACACGCAACAUAGCACAAGGCAAUCAUCAGGCAUCACGGAACACAACAACACAGGGCAACAGAACACCCAGCGAAUAGGAUCACAGUAGAUGCUAACACUGGACACUCGGUGAUCUAACAACCAGCCCGAAAAAAUCCCAAGACACGGUAACCACACACUAACACAUCAUGCCAGCAUACAGCUCCAUAAUCCUGCCACACAACACACACUAGUACACAGCAACCCAGCAGACAGCACCGAACGCACGAUGUGACAUCACAACACAUACAAUCAAGGCAGCAGAACAAAGGACACACUAUGCAGCAACGCAACAAUGUUGGCAGCCAGCAGAUGACACAACGCAAAACCACAUGCAGCGCCUGACAACUCUACAAUCUCACCCAGAAAUAACACAACACCUAGCAUCUGGCCGUCCGACAGCUGAACAGACCAUAGUAAAUACCGAACAGCACAUUUCUUUCUUUCUUUUUUUUUUGAGACGAAGUCUCGCUCCACCACCCAUGCUGUAGUGCAGUGGCACGAUCUCGGUUCACUGCAACCUCUGCCUCCUGGGUUCAAGCAAUUCUCCUGCCUCAGGCUCACAAGGAGCUGAGAUCACACCC
rnacentral:lncRNA from 1 species